rfam:Mustela putorius furo unplaced genomic scaffold scaffold00158, whole genome shotgun sequence.
GCCUGCUUCGGCAGCACAUGAACUAAAACAGGAACAAUACAGAGAUUAGCAUGGCCCCUGUGCAAAAGUGAUAGGUAAAUUCGUAAAUUAUUUCAUACUUUU